GACGGACGCUGGCGGCGUGCCUAAUACAUGCAAGUAGAACGCUGAAGCGAGGAGCUUGCUCUUCUUGGAUGAGUUGCGAACGGGUGAGUAACGCGUAGGUAACCUGCCUUGUAGCGGGGGAUAACUAUUGGAAACGAUAGCUAAUACCGCAUAACAAUGGAUGACACAUGUCAUUUAUUUGCAAGGGGCAAUUGUUCCACUACAAGAUGGACCUGCGUUGUAUUAGCUAGUAGGUGAGGUAAUGGCUCACCUAGGCGACGAUACCUAGCCGACCUGAGAGGGUGAUCGGCCCCCCCGGGACUGAGACCAGGCCCAGGCUCCUACGGGAGGCAGCAGGAGGGAAAUUUCGGCAAUGGGGGCAACCCUGACCGAGCAACGCCGCGUGAGUUAAGAAGGGUUUCGGAUCGUAAAGCUCUGUUUUAAGUCAAGAACGGGUGUGAGAGUGGAAAGUUCACACUGUGAUGGUAGCUUACCAGAAAGGGACGGCUAACUACGUG
rnacentral:rRNA from 1 species